rnacentral:lncRNA from 1 species
CAAGGUUAGAAAAGGCUCCAGGCCUGGGUCUCUGCUGCCACACUGGCCAGCAGGGCUGCUUGCCUGGAGGCUGGUGGGGGCGGGGGCCUCAAGAACAGGCGCAGUUCUCAGCCAUUCCAUUCCACUCACAGACCUGACUGCCAGCCAGGGACCAAGCAGCUCUUCUGUGACACAGUGAGCACUGGGUUGGGAGUCCUCACACCGCUUACGGAAUUAAGCUGCGGGAUUCCGCAAGACAGGAGAGCAGCCUCGAGGGACAAAAGCCACUUCUGACGACAGCACUUGUUCCCCAGACAGACAGCACACCACAGUUGGCAGGGUCGGUCUGACAUGGAGCGGGGAGCACGUGGGGCGGGGGCAGUGCCAGAGGGAGCCCAGGGUCCCCACAGCAGUGGGUUCCGGUGCUCCCAGGGAUUAUAAAUAAACAGGCACAUGGGAAAUGCA